CCGUUGACAUCCAGAGAACUUAGCAGAGAUGCUUUGGUGCCUUCGGGAACUCUGAGACAGGUGCUGCAUGGCUGUCGUCAGCUCGUGUUGUGAAAUGUUGGGUUAAGUCCGCAACGAGCGCAACCCUUAUCCUUUGUUGCCAGCGGUUCGGCCGGGAACUCAAAGGAGACUGCCGGUGAUAAACCGGAGGAAGGUGGGGAUGACGUCAAGUCAUCAUGGCCCUUACGGCCAGGGCUACACACGUGCUACAAUGGCGCAUACAAAGAGAAGCGACCUCGCGAGAGCAAGCGGACCUCAUAAAGUGCGUCGUAGUCCGGAUUGGAGUCUGCAACUCGACUCCAUGAAGUCGGAAUCGCUAGUAAUCGUAGAUCAGAAUGCUACGGUGAAUACGUUCCCGGGCCUUGUACACACCGCCCGUCACACCAUGGGAGUGGGUUGCAAAAGAAGUAGGUAGCUUAACCUUCGGGAGGGCGCUUACCACUUUGUGAUUCAUGACUGGGGUGAAGUCGUAACAAGGUAAGCGUACGUGU
rnacentral:rRNA from 1 species